rnacentral:rRNA from 1 species
GACGAACGCUGGCGGCGUGCUUAACACAUGCAAGUCGAACGAUGAAGCACCAGCUUGCUGGUGUGGAUUAGUGGCGAACGGGUGAGUAACACGUGAGUAACCUGCCCCUCACUCUGGGAUAAGCCUGGGAAACUGGGUCUAAUACUGGAUACGACCGAUCUCCGCAUGGAGUGUUGGUGGAAAGUUUUUGUGGUGGGGGAUGGACUCGCGGCCUAUCAGCUUGUUGGUGGGGUAAUGGCCUACCAAGGCGACGACGGGUAGCCGGCCUGAGAGGGCGACCGGCCACACUGGGACUGAGACACGGCCCAGACUCCUACGGGAGGCAGCAGUGGGGAAUAUUGCACAAUGGGCGAAAGCCUGAUGCAGCGACGCCGCGUGAGGGAUGACGGCCUUCGGGUUGUAAACCUCUUUCACCAGGGACGAAGCUAACGUGACGGUAACUGGAGAAGAAGCACCGGCUAACUACGUG